rnacentral:rRNA from 1 species
AUGAGUAUCCUAUGCUGGAACUGUCGUGGCCUAGGGUCGGACGCGACAGUGGGCGAGCUUCGCUGGUUAGUGAAGACUUAUCGACCCUCGAUCCUCUUCUUGUCGGAGACCAAGAUGGUGGAUCGUAAAGCAAAGAACUUUAUGUGGUCUUUGGGCUACUCUGGUUCUUUCGCUGUUAGCUCCGAAGGCCUCUGUGGAGGCUUGGCCCUUUUCUGGUCUUCG